AGUUUACUGAAUUUUGGAAAGAUUCAGACAGGGACAUUGAUUCUGAAUUUCAGUUGGAGAAGUUUUGUUUCCAGAACAAGAAUGUAGUAUGUUCACAGUUGAAGUAUUGCACAAUGGAUCUUUUU